rnacentral:rRNA from 1 species
CCGCGGUAAUACGAAGGGGGCUAGCGUUGUUCGGAUUUACUGGGCGUAAAGCGCGCGUAGGCGGAUUGGUCAGUUAGGGGUGAAAGCCCGGAGCUCAACUCCGGAACUGCCCUUAAUACUGCCAGUCUAGAGUCCGGAAGAGGUAAGUGGAACUCCUAGUGUAGAGGUGGAAUUCGUAGAUAUUAGGAAGAACACCAGUGGCGAAGGCGGCUUACUGGUCCGGCACUGACGCUGAGGCGCGAAAGCGUGGGGAGCAAACAGG